GUUCUUGCCUGGAGAAUUCCAGGGAUGGGGGAGCCUGGUGGACUGCCGUCUCUGGGGUCGCACAGAGUCGGACAUGACUGAAGCGACUUAGCAGCAGCAGCAGCAGUGCCUAGUCACGACUGUACUUGACAUCACAGGUCUGAGGGAACACAUCUUGUUAUGUGCUUGUUGCUGUUUAUCCAUUCUACAUAAAGGUUUUCAUGUGAAAUUGUGUAUAAAAUUGCUUUGGGGUGCUGUUCAUCAAGACCUUAAGAACAGUGUUUAAGAAGCUAUGUCCAUCGCCUGCCUAUAUUGUAUUCUGAGCCUUGUGGGUCCCUGUCCUUGGUGGAGAAUUCUGUGAUUGAUGUUCACUUCCAUCCAUCAACACAUCUUCUCUCCCAACACAUCCCACUCAGAUGACACACCGUCUCCUCGGCAGAGUCCACAUCAGGCCUGUGUGUGCGACCCGGGGAUAUAUGCCAUGGCUGAGCACACAUCUCCAGGAGCCAAAUCUGGCCUUUGAUAAAGCUUUACAAAGGACCAUUUCAGUUCUUGCGUUGUUCACCAUGGUCCUCACUAUUGCAUUCAGGCCUGCUCUCGAUAGAUAUUAUCUAUGUGAGAUGAAUUGGCUGGCUGUUGGUAAGUGCUGCAUUUACCAGAGUGCGUACUGGUCAAGGCUCAGGUAUUGGGUGCUGUAGGAAAUGUAAGGAUGUGUAACCACAAAGAUCCCACUUCUGAAACCACAAGGGACGCUGAUGAACAAGAUUUCCGAGUCACAGCCAUUGUGUGCAAGAGGCAGGCUGGGAGAUGUGGUUCAGAUGCCAGGACACGGGCAUAUAAGCAGCAGAUUUCACUAUGACAGAGUCUUCUGAAAGAGGUGGUCUCUGAGCUGGAUGAGGAUGUCCUGCCUCUAAAAUACAGCAGUGGUUGCAUUUUGAGAGUUUAAAUGAAUAUUUAAGCAUUUCCACAGCUUUUUUUUUUUUUCCUCAUUAUUGGGUGGUCUGUUUCUGUUGGUCUAUCCUGGAUGUAAGUAUGUGGCAGCUCCUAAUUCAGCACAAAAUGGUGAACUAAUUGAUUUUAAGUGCAAUCUGCUACUGUGUCCUGUGGCUCCACACUAAGCAGCAUGGCUUGCAGUGGUAACCCUGUCUCAACAACCACUGAGGACACAGAGGAGACAAGGCAGGACGAUCACGUUAAUGGAGUGAAGCGCUCCCCCGGAGUGGGCUCUCCUUGCGGACUCAGCUUCUCCAAUGCCCUGAGGUGGAGGUGGACUGGAGCUAGACCUGGGGAGGAAGACGUGACAGCUGGCCAGCACCGCAGCCUUUGUGAUUCCCAUGAGAACAGAAUUCCAGUGGGCCUACAUACAUGGAGAGGCAGAGUUUAAGGCAAGCUUGUCAUGUCUACAGCUGAGAAAGGGAGGACACGAGGCCCCAGAGGUCGUGCUUUCUGAGCCAGAUUUCAUUCAAAUACACAGAGGUGGUGAUGGCGUUCUAAGAAGCAUGUGUGACCAUGGAACCCAUACCUUUCCCUUCCUACUCAUGUUCCGUUCCUGUAGUAGCCAACCACGCACACUGAAACGAGGACACGGAAGAAAAGGAAAACCAAGGGCAGCUCCUAAUUUCUCCUUCAGUCCUUCCUUACUCCCUGGUAAGUUGAGAGAGACUGUGUACGUAUCAAAAAGUGAAAUAAUGGUUGAGUUAGUUUUGUGUGUUAUUUCCACUGUUUUGGUAAGAAUGAGAUAUAUACAUACAACAGAUAUGAUUAUAUUUUAUAUAUAUAAAUAUAAUUUUAUGUAUAUAAUUGUGUGAUUUUGCUGAUUAUGAAUUAAAUGCUCUUCACUUUCACUUUUCACUUUCAUGCAUUGGAGAAGGAAAUGGCAACCCUCUCCAGUGUUCUUGCCUGGAGAAUCCCAGGGACGGGGGAGCCUGGUGGCUGCCGUCUAUGGGGUCACACAGAGUCAGACACGACUGAAGUGACUUAGCAUAGCAUAGCAUAUAGUGGCCUUUAAAACUAGAAUAGCCCAAAAGUAGAAAGAUGAAGGAUAAAAUUAUAAUAAUUUAAAACUUUAAUUUUUCCUGGAAUAGCAUUGAGUAUCAAACAAACAAAUCUGUAACAAGUUGUGAGAAGAAAGGGAAAACAUUUUAAUGCUUUUCAUGGUACUGUCUACUGGGUUUUUGGAGAAAAGGCCCCACUCCUAAUUCUGCACUGGGCCCUAUAUAGGUAGCCAGCCCUGCUCUUAACUGCUCUGCUCCUCCUGAAGCCGGGCUCAAACCUCUCCGCAGUGGAACCCGCUCUGUCUACAAGCCCUCUGGGGACUCCAGCUGAUUGUCGCUGGUGUCAAGGGCACCGUGGCUUUGGUGGCUCCUCUGCUGCUUCAUUUGUGAAAUCCAGAAUUGGGCCAGAACUGAUGCAGAAAUAAUUCAGGGGCUCCGAAAGUACUAGAGGAAGCAUACUCGCCAUAGUGGCAGACAACACAACUUCUCAAUCCCCUUCUAGCCUUGACUUGGGGAAGCAGCCAAAUGCUGGGCUGUCUCCUCUGGCACUGCUGGUUCUCCCUCUAAUGAGUUCUGGAAGAAAGAUACUUGCGGAAGACUAAACCUCAGCUACUAUCCUUGACACCUGGGUUCCUCUCUACCCUCUUCUGCCACUCCGUGAACUGCUGAGCAGUUGUGAGUAGGCAGAGCAGGUGGAAGCUCCUGGCAACAGUGACUGAUUUCAUCAAAACUCUUCAUGAAGAGUCCUGGAAAAGCAAUGCUUGGGAGGUCUUGUUUUCAUGGUACAGUAGAAUCACUUCUUUAAAAAAAAUGACGUGAGAAAGAUAACUUUGGCAAAUGUGCAAAUAUCACAUCAAAAAACUGGAAACAAACUUUAUAGAACUCUGAUGAAGAUGAAAAACUUUAUAGAAAAUUAAAAAUGAGCAAAGCUAGAUUUGCUUGUGGGGAAGGAUAUAAAAAACAUAAAAAUGUACCUUCAAGAUUUUACAUGGAACAUUAUAACCCAUCAAAUUGUGAGAGUGUUCAAUAUUCUCUAACAAAAAUGAACUGAUCUGAGUAAGGGUAAUGCAAAAAUAUUCUAAUGUAGUGCUACUACCCAACAGAACUUUCUGCGAUGAUAGAAAUGUUUCAUCAUCUCUGUAGUGUCUAAUACAGAAUCCAUCAGCCACACAAAUAUUCCCAAUGUGGCUAAUAAAACUGAGGAACUGAAUUUUUAAUAUGGCUUAAAUUUAGCUGCUUUAAAAGUGGCUACCAAUUGAACAGCAUAGUUCUAAUGUCUCCUAGGUCAAAACCAGUGGUUUCUUUGGGGAACCUCUAUAAUUACUGCUGAGGGGUUGGGGGUUGGGGUAGAAAGAGAAGAAAGCUCUUAACAGAUCUACUUAGUCACUUACAUAUAACCUUACAUUCCUCACAGCUCCCAGGAGCAGCAGAUGGCACAGCCUGCUGUGAUGGGCAUGCAGGAAGGAUUCCUGGGGAGACCUGAGUAUGCCCUUCCAAUUCCUGGCUCAGGCCGACGGGAGUAAAAGGCCUAGGACUCUGUCAUUCAGAUGGGGAGAGGAAUCGCUUCUCAGCCUUUUGGCU